rnacentral:rRNA from 1 species
UUCCGAGCACUCGACUGACGCUGAGGCACGAAAGCGUGGGUAUCGAACAGGAUUAGAUACCCUGGUAGUCCACGCGGUAAACGAUGAAUACUGGUUAUUCGGUCGAUAUAGAUUGAGUGACUUAAGCGAAAGCAUUAAGUAUUCCACCUGGGGAGUACGCCGGCAACGGUGAAACUCAAAGGAAUUGACGGGGGCCCGCACAAGCGGAGGAACAUGUGGUUUAAUUCGAUGAUACGCGAGGAACCUUACCCGGGCUCAAACGCAGAGAGACGACACGUGAAAGCGUGUUUUCCUUCGGGACUGUCUGCGAGGUGCUGCAUGGUUGUCGUCAGCUCGUGCCGUGAGGUGUCGGCUUAAGUGCCAUAACGAGCGCAACCCCCAUCUUCAGUUGUCACCGCGUGAAGGCGGGCACUCUGGAGAGACUGCCGGCGCAAGCUGUGAGGAAGGCGGGGAUGACGUCAAAUCAGCACGGCCCUUACGUCCGGGGCGACACACGUGUUACAAUGGCGGGGCACAGAAGGAAGCCAGGCGGCGACGCCGAGCCGAUCCCUAAAACCCGUCUCAGUUCGGAUCGGAGUCUGCAACCCGACUCCGUGAAGC